GGAAGCCAGCCACGCUUCUAACUCCUGGUUUGUGCGACUCUCUCUCUCUCUGGUUCGCCAACCAAGCUGCCCAGCACAGUGCUGGCUAAGCACCAAAGCAGCCCCACUGGAGGAAGUCCAGCCCCACCGGAGGAAGUCCAGCCCCACGGGAGGAAGUCCAGCCCCACUGGAGGAAGUCCAGCCCCAUGGGAGGAAGUCCAGCCCCACCGGAGGAAGUCCAGCCCCACCGGAGGAAGUCCAGCCCCACUGGAGGAAGUCCAGCCCCACCGGAGGAAGUCCAGCCCCACUGGCAGGAAGUCCAGGAUGGCUGGUGGUAAGGAAAGCUGUAGAAAACAGACUGUGUCAAGAUACCCAACCAAGAGAGAAUGCUCCUCUACAGAAAACCACUCAAGCUAACAAAUGAAGAAGCAACAAAAGAAAUCACCAUUUGGAAAAUCCCACUGAGACAAAGAUCCGAGCAGCAGUAAUUAAUGGUUGCCAACCACUAUGUAAAAGUCAGUGGAAGACGCUAUAAUGGGCCCAUUGGAGCGGAUCUCCCGUGGGACAGCGUUGGUAUCAAUAAAAGUGAGCAACUGGGUCAUGG